UACAGAAGGGGCAAGCGUUGUUCGGAAUUACUGGGCGUAAAGGGCGCGUAGGCGGCCCGCUAAGUCGAACGUGAAAUCCCCGAGCUCAACUCGGGAACUGCGUCCGAUACUGGUGGGCUUGAAUCCGGGAGAGGGAUGCGGAAUUCCAGGUGUAGCGGUGAAAUGCGUAGAUAUCUGGAGGAACACCGGUGGCGAAGGCGGCAUCCUGGACCGGCAUUGACGCUGAGGCGCGAAAGCUAGGGGAGCAAACGGG
rnacentral:rRNA from 1 species